rnacentral:rRNA from 1 species
AGAACGAACGCUGGCGGCAUGCCUAACACAUGCAAGUCGAACGAACUCUUCGGAGUUAGUGGCGCACGGGUGCGUAACGCGUGGGAAUCUGCCCUUGGGUACGGAAUAACUCAGAGAAAUUUGUGCUAAUACCGUAUAAUGACUUCGGUCCAAAGAUUUAUCGCCCAAGGAUGAGCCCGCGUAAGACUAGCUAGUUGGUGGGGUAAAGGCCUACCAAGGCUACGAUCUUUAGCUGGUCUGAGAGGACGAUCAGCCACACUGGGACUGAGACACGGCCCAGACUCCUACGGGAGGCAGCAGUGGGGAAUAUUGGACAAUGGGCGAAAGCCUGAUCCAGCAAUGCCGCGUGAGUGAUGAAGGCCUUAGGGUGUAAAGCUCUUUACCGGGAUGAUAAUGACAGUACCGGAGAAUAAGCUCCGGCUAACUCCGCGCCAGCAGCCGC